AUGAUGGCAGAGAGGUCACACCCGUUCCCAUACCGAACACGGAAGUUAAGCUCUCUAGCGCCGAUGGUAGUUGGGACCUUGUCCCUGUGAGAGUAGGACGUUGCCAAGCA
rnacentral:rRNA from 3 species